AUUGAACGCUGGCGGCGUGCUUAACACAUGCAAGUCGUGCGGUAACAGGCGUAGCAAUACGUGCUGACGAGCGGCGAACGGGUGCGUAAUACAUGGGAAUCUGCCCUUUAGUGGGGAAUAACCCGGCGAAAGCCGGGCUAAUGCCGCAUAAGAUCUUCGGAUGAAAGCGGGGACCGUAAGGCCUCGCGCUGAUGGAUGAGCCCAUGUCGGAUUAGCUAGUUGGNGAGGUAACGGACGUCACCAAGGCGACGAUCCGUAGCUGGUCUGAGAGGACGGCCAGCCACACUGGGACUGAGACACGGCCCAGACUCCUACGGAGGCAGCAGUGGGGAAUAUUGGACGAAUGGGCGAAAGACCUGAUCCAGCGACGCCGCGUGUGUGAAGAAGGCCUGCGGGUUGUAAAGCAC
rnacentral:rRNA from 1 species